AUGCUUGCUUUGGCAGCACAUAUACUAAAAUUGGAACGAUGCCAAGAUUAGCAUGGCUCCUGUGCAAGGAUGACAUCCAAAUUUGUGAAGCAUUCCAUAUUUUU
ensembl:snRNA U6 U6 spliceosomal RNA